CGUAGGUGGCAAGCGUUGUCCGGAAUUAUUGGGCGUAAAGCGCGCGCAGGCGGCCUUUAAGUCUGAUGUGAAAUCUUGCGGCUCAACCGCAAGCGGCCAUUGGAAACUGGGAGGCUUGAGUACAGAAGAGGAGAGUGGAAUUCCACGUGUAGCGGUGAAAUGCGUAGAUAUGUGGAGGAACACCAGUGGCGAAGGCGACUCUCUGGUCUGUAACUGACGCUGAGGCGCGAAAGCGUGGGAGCAAACAGGAUU
rnacentral:rRNA from 1 species